rnacentral:rRNA from 1 species
AGUGAUCGAAAGAUGAAAAGCACUUUGGAAAGAGAGUCAAAAAGUACGUGAAAUUGUUGAAAGGGAAGCGCUUGCAACCAGACCUGCCCGCGGGUGAUCAGCCGUCCUUCGGGGCGGUGCACUCACCCGCGAUCAGGCCAGCAUCGGUUCGGGCGGCCGGAUAAAGGCCUUGGGAACGUGGCUCCCCUCGGGGAGCGUUAUAGCCCAGGGUGCCAUGCGGCCCGCCCGGACCGAGGACCGCGCUUCGGCUAGGAUGCUGGCGUAAUGGUUGUAAGCGGCCCGUCUUGAAACACGGACCAAGGAGUCGACCAACCGUGCGAGUGUUUGGGCGUCAAACCCACACGCGCAAUGAAAGUGAACGGAGGUGGGAACCCCUCGCGGGGCGCACCAUCGACCGAUCCAGAUGUCUUCGGAUGGAUUUGAGUACGAGCAUGGCUGGUCGGACCCGAAAGAUGGUGAACUAUGCCUGGAUAGGGUGAAGCCAGAGGAAACUCUGGUGGAGGCUCGCAGCGGUUCUGACGUGCAAAUCGAUCGUCAAAUUUGGGCAUAGGGGCGAAAGACUAAUCGAACCAUCUAGUAGCUGGUUCCAGCCGA